rnacentral:tRNA from 1 species
GGUCCCAUCGUCUAGUGGUUAGGACACUGCCCUCUCAAGGCAGAUGCACGGGUUCGAAUCCCGUUGGGACUACCA